AUUGAACGCUGGCGGCAGGCCUAACACAUGCAAGUCGAACGAGUGGCGGACGGGUGAGUAAUGUCUGGGAAACUGCCUGAUGGAGGGGGAUAACUACUGGAAACGGUAGCUAAUACCGCAUACCAUCGGAUGUGCCCAGAUGGGAUUAGCUAGUAGGUGGGGUAACGGCUCACCUAGGCGACGCUGCCUAGCUGGUCUGAGAGGAUGACCAGCCAAACUGGAACUGAGAAACGGGCCAGACUCCUACGGGAGGCAGCAGUGGGGAAUAUUGGACAAUGGGGGCAAGGCUGAUGGAGCCAUGCCGCGUGUAUGAAGAAGGCCUUCGGGUUGGAAAGUACUUUUAGGGGGGAGGCGGUACUUGCCGAAGAAGCACCGGCUAACUCCGUGCCAGCAGCCGCGGUAAUAC
rnacentral:rRNA from 1 species